rnacentral:lncRNA from 1 species
CGAUUUUGAUUUUUCUUUCUCAUAUUUGAUUAAACGUCAUUUAAUGCACAACAGUAAUUUGCAUUAAAAAGAAAAAGAAAAAAUAUAAAUUUUAAAAAAAAAUUUAUUAUGAAUAUUUUGUAGGACUAAAUUUCUGCCCGGGCCCAAUCAAACCAGUUCAAAUUAAACACCCCACUAAACCGACUACUAACUCCAUCACCUUACUAAACCAUCCACUACCUCCAUCACCCCCACACCCUACUAAACCGUCCACUAACUCC